UGUGUAGGCGGAUUAUUAAGUCAGUGGUGAAAGUUUGCGGCUCAACCGUAAAAGUGCCAUUGAUACUGGUAGUCUUGAGUACAGUAGAGGUAGGCGGAAUUUAUGGUGUAGCGGUGAAAUGCAUAGAUACCAUAAAGAACACCGAUAGCGAAGGCAGCUUACUAUACUGAGACUGACGCUGAGGCACGAAAGCGUGGGGAGCGAACAGGAUUAGAUACCCUGGUAGUCC
rnacentral:rRNA from 1 species